CAAGUCGAGCGGAGAGAGGUAGCUUGCUACUGAUCUUAGCGGCGGACGGGUGAGUAAUGCUUAGGAAUCUGCCUAUUAGUGGGGGACAACAUUUCGAAAGGAAUGCUAAUACCGCAUACGUCCUACGGGAGAAAGCAGGGGAUCUUCGGACCUUGCGCUAAUAGAUGAGCCUAAGUCGGAUUAGCUAGUUGGUGGGGUAAAGGCCUACCAAGGCGACGAUCUGUAGCGGGUCUGAGAGGAUGAUCCGCCACACUGGGACUGAGACACGGCCCAGACUCCUACGGGAGGCAGCAGUGGGGAAUAUUGGACAAUGGGCGCAAGCCUGAUCCAGCCAUGCCGCGUGUGUGAAGAAGGCCUUAUGGUUGUAAAGCACUUUAAGCGAGGAGGAGGCUACUUUAGUUAAUACCUAGAGAUAGUGGACGUUACUCGCAGAAUAAGCACCGGCUAACUCUGUGCCAGCAGCCGCGGUAAUACAGAGGGUGCAAGCGUUAAUCGGAUUUACUGGGCGUAAAGCGCGCGUAGGCGGCUAAUUAAGUCAAAUGUGAAAUCCCCGAGCUUAACUUGGGAAUUGCAUUCGAUACUGGUUAGCUAGAGUGUGGGAGAGGAUGGUAGAAUUCCAGGUGUAGCGGUGAAAUGCGUAGAGAUCUGGAGGAAUACCGAUGGCGAAGGCAGCCAUCUGGCCUAACACUGACGCUGAGGUGCGAAAGCAUGGGGAGCAAACAGGAUUAGAUACCCUGGUAGUCCAUGCCGUAAACGAUGUCUACUAGCCGUUGGGGCCUUUGAGGCUUUAGUGGCGCAGCUAACGCGAUAAGUAGACCGCCUGGGGAGUACGGUCGCAAGACUAAAACUCAAAUGAAUUGACGGGGG
rnacentral:rRNA from 1 species